AAAAAGACAAACUCUGGUUUUCCGUGUUCAACUUUGACUAUCCGUUUUAUAUAAAUUUUUUUUAUAAUUCAUAUUUUUAUUGAUGUUAGAUGAUAAAACAUGAUAAAUAUUUUAUGCGUGACUUGUCUUUUUAUUUUUUUUAUAAUUUUUUUAAAUAAGACGGCGGUUAAAUAUUGGGUACGGAAACUAGGGUGUCUUUUUU
rnacentral:pre_miRNA from 2 species